UGGCCCUCCACAGCUAAUUGGGAAGACAGAAGGGCCCCAUGACCCAUUUGGAAAUUUCUGAGUGUUAUAUGUUAUGCUAAUAUAAUACUAGUCUCAUGUGCGAGUAUUCGGUCUCAGAGAAUAGGGCUGGGUCACCUUUUCUGCUUAGGAGCACAACACAGUCUAGACAGGCAACAGAUGAGUAGGCUUCAGGUUGAGUGUUAAAGAACAUAAUAAACAAAUGGGUAAGUGAUAGAUUGGAGGACUGCCUUGCAGUUCUUCAUGCAAAGGUCAGAUCAGUCUCAAAAGCUGAGAAAUAAAGUGCUCUUAUUUAAAAGUGGGAAUACAGAGGGCCUAGAAAUUUGAAUACUCAAUUUCAAGUGUAGGGCAUAGGUUGAACAUGAACUAUCUAUUUGGGACUACAGACAGGAAGCAUAUCAAAGAGAAGCUGAGUCUAGUCAUGGAAGCAGCCAUGUCAGUUAAGUCUAGAAAUUGCCUCAGUUCUUCUGAAAGCAGCAUGAGAAGACUUGUUGAAAUGAAAGUGCCAUGCCCUUUACCUGCCAUAGCCAUGCUGAGGCAUCUGCCUCCCAUAGUGUUGUUCAUCGCAGCAGGAAUAGGGAGCGCCCACUAGGAUGCAGCUAUACACCUACCUACUGAGCAGACGAAAGGAAAGCUUCUUCAUGCUGCUUAGCAAAGGAAACAAGUGUGGGUUAGCAUAUGCCAUGACAGACAGGAUUGAUUGUGCCUAUGCCACACACAUCAAAGGCCAUCCCAGGGUGACAGCAUAUAAUAGCCUUUGCAUUGGCUGCCUAGGAGAAGGGGUUGGAAAGGCAAGCAAUGAUGAAAAUAUGUAUUGCAAGAAUUCCUUCUCAGUGUGUCCUUCCUUAUAAGGAAGGCCCCAAAGACAAGCCAAAGUUUGAUGCCACCAAAGCCUAGCACUAGAAACAUCGCAGAGAGUUUAUUAGUCUUACUUGUAGAGCAUGAAUGUUUUCUUACAGGGAUGUGGGUAACCUCAAAUCAGCAGAUACACCCUAGAAUGGAUAGUAACUUAUGCAUAGCUACAUAGAUGGGAUCUCUUCUUUCCACCUUUCCUGGGCCUUCUUACUCUAGUCCCUCUACACCCUAGUAUAUAAUUGCAUGCAAAGAUGAGGGGGUCUACCCCAGCCCAUCUUUCUGAGAGAACAUCAAUAAUCAAUAGGACCACUCAAUGGUCUCUUGCAAGCUGAGACAGCUGAUCUGAUGAAGAUGGCUGCUAUUUUGCCUGAAGGGCCACAUUUUACAACAAUAUGUCUGUUAAAAAUUCACUCACAGGGCCCAUGUGGUGGCUCAGUUAAUUAAAAUAUUUGCCUUUAAUUUACCUAAGUUUAAUAUCCAGGACCUCAUGGUAGAAGUAGAGUUACCACUUCAUCCAUCUGUCCGUCCGUCCAUCCGUCCGUCCAUCCGUUCGUCCGUCAUUGAAUUACUAUACUAUAUAUCAUGAUGGUGAUAACAACUUGUGAGAAAAGUUCUCAGACUUCUACAUGUGUGUUGUGGCACAGGCAUGCCUAUGUGCUUAUAUUAUCUAUCAGUUGAUCUCAGUCUCUCAUUAUUUUUUAUGAAAAAAAAAAUGGGCUGGAGAGAUGGCUCAGUGGUUAAGAGCACCGACUGCUCUUCCAGAGGUCCUGAGUUCAAUUCCCAGCAACCAUAUGGUGGCUCACAACCAUCUGUAAUGGGAUUGGAUGCCCUCUUCUGGUGUGUCUGAAGACAGCAAUAGUGUACUUCUAAACAAUAAAUAAAUCU
rnacentral:lncRNA from 1 species